AACAAUUCCAAUUGGUUUCCCAAGUUUUGUUUGCCAACAAGAUGGGAACCAGCAGUGGAGGAGGCAUUAAAAAGGCAGGAAC